rnacentral:misc_RNA from 1 species
CAACCCUCAAGCUCUGCUUGGUAUUGGGCAUCACCGGCUCCGGUGGGCCCUAAAAUCAGUGGCGGUGCCGUCUGGCUCUAAGCGUAGUACAUCUCUCGCUAUGGAAGUCCGGUGGAUGCUUGCCAGCAACCCCUAAUUUUUUAA